UACGUAGGGACCAAGCGUUGUUCGGAUUUACUGGGCGUAAAGGGCGCGUAGGCGGCGCGACAAGUCACUUGUGAAAUCUCUGGGCUUAACUCAGAACGGCCAAGUGAAACUGUUGUGCUAGAGUGCAGAAGGGGCAAUCGGAAUUCUCGGUGUAGCGGUGAAAUGCGUAGAUAUCGAGAGGAACACCAGAGGUGAAGACGGGUUGCUGGGCUGACACUGACGCUGAGGCGCGAAAGCGUGGGGAGCAAACAGG
rnacentral:rRNA from 1 species